AAAGGAAUAGACGGGUCCCCGCACAAGCAGCGGAGCGUGUGGUUUAAUUCGAGGCUACACGAAGAACCUUACCAAGGUUUGACAUGCUAGUGGUAGUGAAGUGAAAACGGAACGACCCUUCGGGGAGCUAGCACAGGUGCUGCAUGGCUGUCGUCAGCUCGUGUCGUGAGAUGUCAGGUUAAGUCCUGUAACGAGCGCAACCCUCGUCGCUAGUUAUACGUGUCUAGCGAGACUGCCCGUGAUAAGCGGGAGGAAGGUGAGGAUGACGUCAAGUCAGCAUGGCCUUUAUAUCUUGGGCUACACACACGCUACAAUGGCCAGUACAAUGGGCAGCCAAGUCGCGAGACGGAGCCAAUCCCACAAAGCUGGUCUCAGUUCGGAUUGCAGGCUGCAACUCGCCUGCAUGAAGUCGGAGUUGCUAGUAACCGCGCGUCAGCCAUAGUGCGGUGAAUACGUUCCCGGGGAUUGUACACACCGCCCGU
rnacentral:rRNA from 1 species